CCUCCCAACCUCCUGUUUUGCUGCAGGACCCCACGGAUCACAGCCCUGAAAUCAGCCUUGCACAUACAAACAGUGAACACAUGGAGAGGAAGGAGUGGAGACGCCAGAGCUGCAGGGGAGAGGCUGCCUGGGAAGUCAAAUGAGGGCAGAAGGCAUCAGCCUUUCCAGGAAAGAACCUGUCCUUGCACAUUUCCUCGUGUCUGGGCUUCAAUAUCGUGAUUAGGAGCACAUGAGAAAAAGAAAACACCCCCCAUUUUGCUAGCCCCAGCAGGGUGAACAGAAGGAAAAGGUGCUCCAGGGCAGGAAGAAACUGUGAAGAAAUAGGUUUGCAAACUCCAUUUAUAUUGGAUUGUUUAAAAAUUGUCCUGAGAGCUGCCUUCUGGGGACAGCUGUCCUACUCUGAAGGAGGAAGAGCAGAGAUGUGUGUGGGGAGAAGCUGUGUGUGGGACUCUUGGGGCUGGGAUGGGACUCAGGUUGCAAUUGCCUCUGGUUGCUCUCAGGCCUGGGGAAGGCAGGGAGAGGCUGGGCACAUGGAAGAAAGGCUCCAAAAAGCCCUUCAUCCUGUAGGAGCGACAUCUCCCUCUGCAACAGGAGAGGUCUCAGUUGGGCCAUAAGCUGCUCUGACAAGUAGAGAGAUGAGAAAGGCAGCUGAAUCAUAGAAUCGUUUGAGAUAGAAGGGCCCUUUAAAAGGCAUCUGGUCCAACCCCUCCGCAACAAUCAGGGACACCUACAGCUUCAUCAAGAGCUCACAGCCCGUCCAUCCUGACCUUAGGUGUCCCCAGGGACCUAUCAUCUCCAGGUCCCUUCCCUGCCAGCCGUCUGAAGUCAUGGCAGUGCUGCAAAUGCCUCAGUGCUCAGGCAGGACAUGCAGAAAAAGCUGAGCUGCCCUGGAGAUGCACAAGGGCUGGUGAUACCCAACCUGCAGCCACAGCAGUGGAUAAAAGGAGGCUCAGCAUUGCAUUGCAUUAAUGUGCUGCAUCCCAAGAAAUGUUUCUUCAGGGUGGAAGAGUACUGGUAAGGGUCUCUACUAACGCAUCCGUAGCUAGUAUCUGGUCUGGACUGCUCAACAGCAGAAAUGAAUGCAUCCAUCUUGCCUUGGCUGCACAUGGCAUGCACAGGGGGACUGUUCCUUAUUAGCACUCACAGCCAUUGGCAAGAGCUGCUGGAACAGAGGUUGAGCUCCAACUGCUAUUCCUGCCUCUCCUCCUUCACUUGUGCUUGUGUCUUUCUCAAACUCAUUCCUUUUGGAAUUUUCCAUGCUUUAUCCAAGCCCAGUGACAAGUUUUUGCUCUGAAGGUAUGGACUGUGCUGGUUGGAAUCC